GAACUCAAUCAGUAGAGCAUGACACUCUUAAUGUCAAGGUUGUGGGUUCAAGCUCCACAUUGGACA